UUUUUCUUUUAAAAAAAUAUUGAAUUUAUUUAUAGUUUAGAGAAGAAAAUGUCUCUGUGUCAAUAUAAAAACCUUUAGAUAGGAUUGAUAUUAAUGAAUAUUCUCACAAAUUUCAGCUAGAUGUAUAUGUUUACCCAGUUGUAAAUAUGUAGUGUUCAUUUUUGUACCAAAAGUGCCACCAUUUUUGUCAGGUACAAAAUGUCUUGUUAUGAAUAUUUCCUUUUUAAAGC
rnacentral:lncRNA from 1 species